rnacentral:rRNA from 1 species
AUUGAACGCUGGCGGCAUGCCUUACACAUGCAAGUCGAACGGUAACAGGUCUUCGGAUGCUGACGAGUGGCGAACGGGUGAGUAAUACAUCGGAACGUGCCUAGUAGUGGGGGAUAACUACUCGAAAGAGUGGCUAAUACCGCAUGAGAUCUACGGAUGAAAGCAGGGGAUCGCAAGACCUUGUGCUACUAGAGCGGCCGAUGGCAGAUUAGGUAGUUGGUGGGAUAAAAGCUUACCAAGCCGGCGAUCUGUAGCUGGUCUGAGAGGACGAUCAGCCACACUGGGACUGAGACACGGCCCAGACUCCGACGGGAGGCAGCAGUGGGGAAUUUUGGACAAUGGGCGCAAGCCUGAUCCAGCAAUGCCGCGUGCAGGAUGAAGGCCUUCGGGUUGUAAACUGCUUUUGUACGGAACGAAAAGCCCUGGGUUAAUGCCCUGGGGUCAUGACGGUACCGUAAGAAUAAGCACCGGCUAACUACGUGCCAGCAGCCGCCGUAAGAC